GACAGAGGUGCCAAGCGUUAGGCGGAAUCACUGGGCUUAAAGCGUGUGUAGGCGGAUUGGUAAGUACCUUGUGAAAUCCCACGGCUCAACCGUGGAACUGCUUGGUAUACUGCUUAUCUUGAGCCACUUAGGGGCUGUCGGAACAAACGGUGGAGCGGUGAAAUGCGUAGAUAUCACUUGGAACGCCAAUGGUGAAAACAGACUGCUGGGGGUGUGCUGACGCUGAGACACGAAAGCCAGGGGAGCAAACGGG
rnacentral:rRNA from 1 species